AGGUUAGUGUCACUUCAGAUCAGACUUCAAUAAUAACUGCCGCGUUAUGAGUUAGUAGGAUCAAAUUUCUUUGUCGUAAAACCAAAACGCAAACGAAGCUAUAUACAAGUUCUCGUUAUCACUUUUUAGUCACAUUUGUAGUAAACUUUAACAUUUUAGCUCUCCAUGGACUAAGGUUAUUGGAGACGCAAUAGCUUUCUCACUGGGAUUAGCAACUACCUUAGCACUUCUUGGGAUUGUAGCCUCUUUUGCCGGAAAAGCUUAUGGACAAAUAGGACAAGGACUACCAGUAGCUGCAUCCGGUCUGGCUAUUGUAAUGGGUCUCAAUCUCCUUGAGGUACUUUUGUUACACGUUAGCACUUUUCAUAUAGCAUCAGUAGCAUAGCCAUGUCCAACAACAAUCUCCUUUAUUCUCCUCUUACAGGUAAUCCAACUUCAGCUUCCAUCUUUCUUUGACAACUUUGAUCCUCGUGCUGCUGCAGCAAACUUCCCAUCAGGUAAUCCUCCUAGAGACAAAAUCAAUUUUGGGGUUUCGGACAUCAAACCGUUCAGUACUUUUUUUUUGUGGUUGUUUGUGACACUCUUGUUGACAAAAUGUUUUUUUAGGUGUACAAGCGUAUCUAGCAGGUCUCACAUUCGCACUUGCUGCUUCACCUUGUAGUACUCCAGUCCUAGCCACCCUUCUUGGCUAUGUGGCUACUUCCAGGGUAAUUCUGUUUUUAAUACCAGAGCUAGUAUAAUUUUCCACUUGGUUAUAUAGUUAUAACGGAUAAUGUAAUGGUUAUGACAUGCAGGAUCCAGUAGUAGGUGGAAGCUUACUGUUGACGUAUACAACAGGUUACGUUGCUCCACUCAUCCUCGCUGCUUCUUUCGCUGGAGCUUUGCAGGUACCAUGUGUUUCUUUUACUCUUUAACAAAUAGUCAAGCUGCAAAUUUAGUAGUUUGGGUUUUAAAUUUUGUGAAGCAUCUGCGUGUUCACCUUCUCUUGAAUUUCUGCAGAGCUUGCUCUCGUUUCGAAAAGUCUCUGCAUGGAUCAACCCCAUAAGGUAUGUCUAAGUUUGAGGCAUUCUAAAGCCAUAUAUAUGAUUUCAGAUGUUGUAAAUUUACUGUUUCAAUUUUCUAUGAUUUUGUGCAGUGGUGCUCUUCUACUUGGAGGAGGUUUGUAUACUUUCUUGGAUAGGCUUUUCCCUGCUGCUACUAUGGUCAUGUAAAUAUUUGUUACCAAGAAGAAUCACAUUCUCAUUUCUACCAAAAAGCGAAGUGUGUGUAUAGUAUUAUAAAUAUAUUGAUUAUAAUGUAAAAUCUUAAACAAACAAACAAACAAACAAUGUGUUCGAUUACUACGAGUCUAGUCUUUGUCCACAUGUUAUCCUUUCAUCUUAAACCACACGAUAACUGUGAUUUUAGACGGCCUAGAAAGUACAAAUAUGACAAUCAUACACACACGCAAAAGUCAUUUACAGCUAGAGUAGUUAUACAAAAGAGUCAACAUUUGCGACUGUGCCGGUGCCGUCCCUUUCUCCAGUGUUCAUCAACAGCUAAAGCAAAAAAAAAAAAAAACACGAAUAUUUACAAACGAGUCCCUCCAUUUACCAUUUCUUUAUUUUUCGCCAAAGACUCCAAUCUUUGGACGACCGCGGUCGCACAAUUCUGGUGGAGCCCAGGGGGAAGGACAAGAGGUAUGCACUGGAAAUCAUGGGAUAAAGUGUGUCUUGAUAAGGAAGCUGGGGGUUUAGGUUUUAAGGAUAUUACAGAUUUUAAUACAGCAAUGCUUGGUAAACAACUGUGGCGCUUGAUCGAGAAGCCAAAUACAUUAUUUUCCCGGGUUUUUAAAGGACAUUAUUACAGGAAUGCAUCACCCCUGGAACCGAUUCGUUCAUAUUCUCCGUCAUAUGGUUGGCAGAGUAUAGUUUCUGCUAGAUCUCUGGUAAGAAAUGGACUAAUUAAAAGGGUGGGAUCAUGAUCAUCUAUCUCUGUAUGGAAUGAUCCAUGGCUCCCAACCACUCUCACGAGACCAACAAAUAAAAAUCAACACAAUUUCAACACAUACCUAACAGUGGAUUCUCUUAUUGAUUCUACUUCGUGACGUGGAAAUCGCAGGUACUCCGGACUUUGAUGGAUCCCCAGGAUGUGAAAAUUAUAGAAAGUAUACCAUUGAGUAGAACUCAGAUGAUGGAUAGGGAUGGAUGGCAUUUUACAAAGAAUGAGAAGUAUGCGGUUAAAUCAGGAUAUCAGAUAGAAUGGGUUUACCCAGACAGGGAAAGACCACAUUUAAUGUUUGGACCUACAGUUGAUACAUUGAAGGCGUUCUGUUGGAAAAUACGGUGCCCCCCAAAAAUGAAACAUUUUCUAUGGCAAUUAGUGACAGGGUGUAUAGCAGUAAAGAAGAAUCUCAAAGCGCGAGGGAUACAAGCGGAUAUAUGUUGUGCACGAUGUGGAGCGGACGAGGAAUCGAUCAACCAUGUGUUUUUUGAAUGUCCUCCAGCACUUCAGGUUUGGGCUCUCUCUAAGAUACCAUCAAACCCAGCUAUUUUCCCCACCAGCUCCCGUUUCACAAAUGUGGACCAUCUCUUUUGGCGAGUCUUCCCGCAGAUGGAUGAUCAUCAGUUUGCGUGGAUACUAUGGUAUAUCUGGAAAGGAAGGAAUAAUAAAGUUUUUAAUAAUUUGGAUAUAGAUCCUCGAGAUACACUCAAAUUGGCAGAAACAGAGUCAAUACUCUGAGUUGAGGCACAUGUACUAAAGGAAAACAAGAGAGUAUUACCGGUCGAGCCUACAACCCUUCCAUUGAUCCCAGGAAGAUGGUGCUUCACAGAUGGCUCUUGGAAGGAAAAUGAUAUUUUCUCAGGACAAGAUUGGCUCAGUACUUUAGAAGGUUUUGAUGGGCUGUUGGGGGCGAGGAAUGUCCGGGCUUGUCUCACUCCUCUGCAUGCGGAGAUAGAAGCUCUAUUAUGGGCAAUAGAAUCUAUGAAAAACUUACGUCAAUUUCAGGUUACAUUUGCAACGGAUUGUUCUCAAUUGGUGAAGAUGGUUUCAGAACCAGAAGAAUGACCAUCAUUUGCAAAUUAUUUGGAAGAUAUCAAGACCCUGAGAGAAAGUUUCAUUAGAUCAGAGAUCAUCUAUGUACCAAGGACGCAAAACUCAAAGGCGGAUAGUCUAGCACGCAGUGUUAGGAAACAACCGUCUUUCGUCGUUCACAUGGAUCAGGAUCUCCCGGUGUGGUUCACAGAGUCAAUAUGAGUCUGUAAUUGAUGACAAAAAAAAAAAAACAUUAAUAAAACUUGUAACAGAUCUUUCUAAUUUUACUCAAAUCUCACAUUAUCUUGGAUUUAUUCAAAUCUUGUACUCUCUUAAAUCCUAGAUCCAAUAAGCCUCACUUAGAUUAUAAAUAUCUUUUUUGGGGUUAAAAUGUUAAGCUUGCGAUUAUAAAAGAUCUCGAGGAAAUGGCAAAUGGGAUUAAUCGGUUUCUUCUUCUUUUUAUUUGGUUUACUACAUUUUUGUACAACCUUUCCAAAAUGGCAACUCAUAUUUGAUUUUAGAUUUUAGAUUUUAGUAAGACCUCUAUAAAUUUCAGCCCAUUAGAUAAUUUAUUUUUGAAACAGCCCAUUAGAGAAUAUAUAUAUAUAUAAAAUGUAUUUAACGAAAUUAAAAUUAAGGAAAAGGAAAAUAUCUAAAAGCGAGAAGACCGUUUAUCUUUCUCUCCCUCUAGCCAGAGUGCGAUGAUGAAUUUGAGCGUGAACAGAUGCAUCGCCGGUGGAGGUAUCAUCGGUGGAUUUUCGAGUUGCAGAAUCAAUCAUGGUGCUGGUGGUGAGUUUACUCUCUUAAUUUAGCUUUAAGAACAAACUAUGGAGAAACUCACAAAGCUGUAAACCCCGUACUAAGGCAUUUAGAGUAGUCUGGAUUAGAUUAUGAUCAAUCGCACGCAUGAUUAUUAGUCUUAUAUUUUGAACUCAAGAUAUGAAUAUUAAUCGCUCUGGGGAAUCGAAACUGGGUCGUGUUGUCCUUACAAGUACCACAUGUUAGUUAUCUUCUUAUUCUUCUUCAUAAGUGUACUCAGAACAUGCUCUGGCUUGAAAUUGACUAGCGUUUAGGUAUUUGCGACUGCUGCAAUGAAAGGUAUUGAGUUUGUUUUUUUCUCACAAACUACAGAGAAAAGGUUGGUCCGUGUUGGCAAGCAUUGUGAGCUACAGAGAGGGAGAAGUUUAGGGUCUGAUGCUGUCUCUAUAGAGAAGAAAGAGAGCAAAAGUGUUAAACUUGCCAUGUUUGGUAGUGGUUUAGUAGGAGGUAAUGUGUUACCCUCUUCUCCAUUUCACCUGUUUAUUCUGCAAGUCUUGACUCAGAGUCAGAAAUAAGAAUCUAUGUGUGUUUAAAAGCCAAGUGUAUGGAAAAACUAGCAAAGUAUGCCUGAUUAUGUCUUCUAACGACUUAAUUAUUUUCAUAUGAUUAUGAACACCUCAUUUUUUUUCUUGGUUUCCCAGUGGCAAACUUGGUAACUCUUAGCUCAGCAAAGGCCGCAGACUUGAAAAUGGUUGUCUUGGUAAGCUUUAAAUCACAGACUAUCGUCUUUUUUAGAUUUUCCGUACUUCUGUGAUCUAUUCACUGAUGUUUGUUACUGUAGGCUAGUUCAGUUGCUUUUUUUUUUAAGAUUGUUUCUUUUCCUUUCGUCCUUGGUGCAAAGCCAAAGGUAAAAACUUCAGCGUCUCUGUAUAUAUAGGACAUUGUUUGGGGGUUUGAUCUGAAUAUAUAUUUUUUUUUUGUUUUGCGCAUUUUUGUGCCUGCUUCUGAUUUUUCGGCCAUUAUCUAGUUGCAGUUUGCUUGUAAAAUCAGAAACUAAUUAUCCUCUUAUGACAGGAUCAAGCGACUUCCGUGUACAUCUUGGCUGAAGGAACACUGGGAGAUUCGCUUGGAAACUUCUUGUAUUCAGCUAACCAACAAGCUAAUGAAGCUGUUCAGGAUCAGCUCUCAGCUCUCAGUGUGACAAGGUUUGUUUUUUUUCUGGUUCUUUUCAAUGUAAGUACCUCUGAGAGUUUGUCUCUCUUGACUCUCCUGAUAAUUUACCCCUCUUGUAGUUUGGCAGUAAUAUUUGGGGCAGGACUCGUGACAAGUCUUUCUCCAUGUACACUCAGUGUUCUGCCAUUGACACUUGGUUAUAUUGGUAUGAUAAUUUAUCUCAAUUUUAAAAAAAAUUCUCACAAGUUAUGGAUAGAAUUUAAGUUUGAUGUUCUAAUUCCUUUGGCACUGGUCCUUAAUAUGGCUGUAACAUAUAGGUGCAUUCGGGUCGGGCAAAAGCAGAUCUCAGGUUAGUGUCACUUCAGAUCAGACUUCAAUAAUAACUGCCGCGUUAUGAGUUAGUAGGAUCAAAUUUCUUUGUCGUAAAACCAAAACGCAAACGAAGCUAUAUACAAGUUCUCGUUAUCACUUUUUAGUCACAUUUGUAGUAAACUUUAACAUUUUAGCUCUCCAUGGACUAAGGUUAUUGGAGACGCAAUAGCUUUCUCACUGGGAUUAGCAACUACCUUAGCACUUCUUGGGAUUGUAGCCUCUUUUGCCGGAAAAGCUUAUGGACAAAUAGGACAAGGACUACCAGUAGCUGCAUCCGGUCUGGCUAUUGUAAUGGGUCUCAAUCUCCUUGAG
rnacentral:lncRNA from 1 species